rnacentral:rRNA from 1 species
UACGUAGGCGGAAAAUUAAGUCAGUAGUGAAAUCCUGCAGCUUAACUGUAGAACUGUUAUUGAUACUGGUUUUCUUGAAUAUAGUUGAGGUAGGCGGAAUGUGUAAUGUAGCGGUGAAAUGCUUAGAUAUUACACAGAACACCGAUUGCGAAGGCAGCUUACUAAGCUAUGAUUGACGCUGCGGUACGAAAGCGUGGGGAGCGAACAGGAUUAGAUACCCUGGUAGUCC